rnacentral:rRNA from 1 species
AAACGGGUGGGCCCUCGAAGUCCUGUGGCGGGAGGAUUCAGUCGAAAGGCGGGCGCGUGCGUGCGGGCGGUGUGAUCGUGGUCCCCCUUCCCGGGGGGUCAAUCCGCCCGCGUCACGACGCAGGCCGGCCRACGCAUUUCUUUCCCGUCUGAAGGAAGCCGCAAUCGGUUGGGGGACUGCCUUAAGGAUUGGUGACGGAAGGUUGCCGACGGCUUCCCCUGUGGGAUUUCGCCGGUGUUAUAGCCGACCAGUCGCACGGCGGGUACC